UAUUGCACAAUGGGGGAAACCCUGAUGCAGCGACGCCGCGUGAGUGAAGAAGCGUUUCGGCGCGUAAAGCUCUGUCAGCGGGGAAGAAACACGGUUCGCGAGAGCCGCGGACGGUACCCGACCAAGAAGCCCCGGCUCACUACGUGCCAGCAGCCGCGGGAAUACGUAGGGAGCAAGCGUUAUCCGGAAUUAUUGGGUGUAAAGGGUGCGUAGACGGGAUAACAAGUUGGUUGUGAAACCCCUCGGCUCAACUGAGGAACUGCAACCAAAACUAUUAUUCUUGAGUGCAGGAGAGGAAAGUGGAAUUCCUAGUGUAGCGGUGAAAUGCGUAGAUAUUAGGAAGAACACCGGUGGCGAAGGCGACUUUCUGGACUGUAACUGACGUUGAGGCACGAAAGUGUGGGGAGCAAACAGG
rnacentral:rRNA from 1 species